AACGAACGCUGGCGGCAGGCCUAACACAUGCAAGUCGAGCGAGGACUUCGGUUCUAGCGGCGGACGGGUGAGUAACGCGUGGGAAUGUGCCCUUCUCUACGGAAUAGCCCUGGGAAACUGGGAGUAAUACCGUAUACGCCCUUUUGGGGAAAGAUUUAUCGGAGAAGGAUCAGCCCGCGUUGGAUUAGGUAGUUGGUGGGGUAAUGGCCUACCAAGCCGACGAUCCAUAGCUGGUUUGAGAGGAUGAUCAGCCACACUGGGACUGAGACACGGCCCAGACUCCUACGGGAGGCAGCAGUGGGGAAUCUUAGACAAUGGGGGCAACCCUGAUCUAGCCAUGCCGCGUGAGUGAUGAAGGCCUUAGGGUUGUAAAGCUCUUUCAGCUGGGAAGAUAAUGACGGUACCAGCAGAAGAAGCCCCGGCGAACUCCGU
rnacentral:rRNA from 1 species